GUGGGGAAUAUUGCGCAAUGGGGGAAACCCUGACGCAGCAACGCCGCGUGAAGGAUGAAGGCCUUCGGGUCGUAAACUUCUGUCAGGUGGGAAGAAGGCUUCGUAGGUUAAGAGCUAGUGAGGCUUGACGGUACCACCAGAGGAAGCCCCGGCUAACUCCGUGCCAGCAGCCGCGGUAAUACGGAGGGGGCGAGCGUUAUUCGGAUUUAUUGGGCGUAAAGGGCGUGUAGGCGGCAUGGUAAGUCAAAGGUGAAAUCCCUCGGCUCAACCGAGGAACUGCCUUUGAAACUGCCGAGCUAGAGUCCGGGAGAGGGUAGCGGAAUUCCCAGUGUAGCGGUGAAAUGCGUAGAUAUUGGGAGGAACACCAGUGGCGAAGGCGGCUACCUGGACCGGUACUGACGCUGAGGCGCGAAAGCGUGGGGAGCAAACAGG
rnacentral:rRNA from 1 species